AAGUCGUAACAAGGUUUCCGUAGGUGAACCUGCGGAAGGAUCAUUAACACGUAUCCAACGUUAAACCCCCCCGUGAACGUACAACAUUCCUUCUCGGCUUACAGAAAUAUUGGUUGCAAUCCCUGGUAAAUCAUCGCCGAACAGUUUUCGAUUCAGGGACGUCUGCAAGGAGCGUGCAUGUUGUGCGAAGCAAGUGGCCUGGCAUCCCCAAGCAGUUAGUGUCUGAAAGUGUCAUUAACUGUGUAAGGAUGACGCAGUCACGAUCGUUGGAGGCCCACACGGCCGACGACCGGGUCACUGGGCGCAAGCCCCCCUAUAACAAACGCUGCCAAUCGCGGCCGCGAUAAUACGCAGUCGACAAAAAACCGAACAACUGUUAACAAUGGAUAUCUUGGUUCUC
rnacentral:misc_RNA from 1 species